CAUACUAUUAACAUUAGCAAAAGAAAAAUCUUUCUCAAUCAAAAUUUUUGGCGUCAACCCUCUGAUACCUCCUUUGAUAUUGAGAUUAACAUAUAUGUCAGAUUUCCUCAGGUGAAUAGCUUCGACAAUAACUCGAGACUCAAGAAUUCCUUCCACCCCACUAAAAGGAACUCUAUCAGAAACUGAUAUACCUAAAAGGUAAGCAUACUCCUCCAUGGUAGGCAACAACUGAUAAUCGGGGAAAG
rnacentral:lncRNA from 1 species